UAGUAAACCAAUGGAUAAAGAAUCCCAGAAUGUGUCCACCAUUUAGUCUCCGCUCUCCAUCAAAGAAUGAUCCAGCUGUCUUCAGCCUGGCGAUCCCACUGACUCCACCUCCAGCGAAGACUGUCUGUACCUCAAUGUAUUUUUUGCUAGUAGUGUGGUAAGACUCACAUGACAUACUUGUGAGCUCAUACAUGCAUAAAUUCAUAUAUAGAUAUAGACAUAGAGUACUAUUCAGAAGUUUGCAGUCAAUAAAUUCUCAUUUAGUGUCUCAUUGGAACUCACUGUAUAUCAUGGACUUUUAGAUAUGUUAAUACUGCUUUCACAAACCACUGUAUCUGCUGACUGUGGUGUGAAUGCUGCUAUUGGUAUUCAUAGUACAAUUUUUCUGUUUUGUCACAGGGAAAGAAUGCUCCAGUUCUGGUGUUCUUCCACAACUCUGGAUCGGGUGUCUUAAAUGGCUCUUACCUCGCUGCUGUUGGAAACAUGACAGUAGUGACAGCCAGUUUCAGGGUGGCAGCUUUCGGCUUUCGGUACCUAAGUUCAGGUUCCAGUGCUCUGCCGGGGAAUUAUGGGUUGCAGGACCAGGCAGCUGCUCUGGGUCGGGUUCAGAAGAACAUUGCUCUGUUUGGAGGAGACUUCACUUAAGUCACAGUAGGAGCAGAGAGAAAUGGAGCCGACAUUGCGAGUCUUCAUCUCAUCUCAUCGUCAGCGUCAGCUUCAUCACUUAUCCGCUGUGCUUUACUAAUGGUAAGAACAGAACUCUGUGUUCCAGCUGCCCGUUACAUGACAUCACUGUUUUAUGUAACAAGACUAAUGUCUGAGGUCACUUUUACAGUAAAAUCAACCUUCUCCAGUCCAAAAAAUAAUGAUGCAAGGUUGCCCACCAUCCUAAAACAUUCAUACUCAAAGCUUCGUAAGCCCAAAUUUAAAUAAAUACGUGCUUGAGGAACUUUAACUUUUCACUGACAAAAAGUCUUUCUCUUUCCAGUCCAGACACAACAAUGCCUUUAGAUAUCCUUCAGCCUUUUUUUAAAAAUACUUUAUUUAUUAGAUUUUUCCUCACACAUAUAAACCAACACAUAUUCACUCACAUCUCACAUAUAACUAUCCAAUAUAAUUAGAGAACAGUAAAAAAAAUACACUGAAAAAACAACAGUAGAAAAUUUGUAUAAAACAAAAGUGGGGGGUAUUAGUCCAAUAAACACCAAGUAUGAAUUCAGUCCUUUUCUUAGCUCAUUUAAUCGUUUAUCUCAAUGGAUCAGUUGAAUCACUUCCUGUAGAAUCAAUAUCACCAAAGUAAUUUAUAAAAGGUUGCCAUAUCUCAGAAAUUUUUUCCUGUUUAUUUUUCAAGGAGAAUCUGAUUUUCUCUGGCUCCAAUGUGCUAGUAGACAAACAAAUAAAAUUAUAUUUUGUUCAGCCCUGUUUUUAGCUAUUCUAAGAUUCAACAAUACCUAAAACCGCCAUCAGGGGGUCUAGAUCAAUAGGCCUUUGUAAUAUUCUUGACAAUGUCAGAAAAAUACUUCUCUAACAAGAUGGUAAUUUUGGGCAGCUCCAAAACAUAUGGGCCAGUGAUGUCGGUGCACGCCCAUAACGAUCACAUGAAGGGUCUACAUUUGGGAAUAUCUUACUGAGCUUUUGUUUAGACCAGUGUAAACGAUUUAUUACUUUAAACUGUAUGAGCCUGUGUCUUGCACAAACUGAUGAGCCAUGAAUCUGUUUAAGGGCUGCCUCCCUUUGCUCCUCUGUAAUUUCAACAUCCAAGUCUUCCACCCAGGAGGACUUUAAGUGUUCUAGAGUUGAUGUGCUGGUCAACUGGAAUAGUGCAUUAUUUUAAGUUUUGCAGCUGCAAAUGUAAAAAAAAAUGUGAUCGAGGUAUGUUAUAUUUCUUUUGUGGCUGUUCAAAUGAUGGAAACACUUUAUCAACAAAUAUGUCUAUAAAGCUUUAAAUUGCUUUUCCAACCCGAUCAUGGAAUUAAAAAAAAAAAAAAUACAAAAAAAAAAAACGGAACCUUGGACCAGAUCUUGAGUAUAUAUGAAACUACUGGAUUUUCUAAUGGACAAGUGGGUAAAGGUGAAAACAGUAGAGCAGAAAGUGAGGAAGGAUAACAGCAUGCACUUUCUAUGCUUACCCAUACAAUAGGAAUUAAAAAAAAAAAAAAUACAAAAAAAAAAAAACGGAACCUUAGGACCAGAUCUUGAGUAUAUAUGAAACUACUGGAUUUUCUAAUGGACAAGUGGGUAAAGGUGAAAACAGUAGAGCAGAAAGUGAGGAAGGAUAACAGCAUGCACUUUCUAUGCUUACCCAUAAUUGGGGUUGUUUUUGUAACCAGUAGGCCAUUAUUCUUAUAUUACUGUACUUAUGUUCUGUAGAUCCUGCAUUAUUUGAUCAAGUAAUUUUGAAAAAUUCUCUUUAUCUACAAAUAUCUUAUUGACAUUGAUUCCUAAGUAUUUAAAAUGGGUUAAAGUUUUAAAGGGCAGUGUUUCAAAAUAUUGAUGAUCAGCUAAAUUGUUAAUUGGAAAUAAUAUACUUUUCCCCGUAUUAAAUUUAUACCCUGAAAUUUGUCCAAAUUUCUUUAAAGUGGAAAGUAUUGCAGGAAUAGAUUUUGAUGGGUUGGAAAUAUAUAAUAAUAAAUCAUCCAUAUAUAAUGAUACUUUAUGUUCCCCACCCCUCAGAAGACCCCUCUAUCAGCUAUUGAGCUCCUGG
rnacentral:lncRNA from 1 species